UACGAAGGGGGCUAGCGUUGUUCGGAAUCACUGGGCGUAAAGCGCACGUAGGCGGAUUGUUAAGUGAGGGGUGAAAUCCCGGGGCUCAACCCCGGAACUGCCUUUCAUACUGGCAAUCUCGAGUUCGAGAGAGGUAAGUGGAAUUCCGAGUGUAGAGGUGAAAUUCGUAGAUAUUCGGAGGAACACCAGUGGCGAAGGCGGCUUACUGGAUCGAUACUGACGCUGAGGUGCGAAAGCGUGGGGAGCAAACAGG
rnacentral:rRNA from 2 species